rnacentral:rRNA from 1 species
UACGUAGGGUGCAAGCGUUGUCCGGAAUUAUUGGGCGUAAAGGGCUCGUAGGCGGUUUGUCGCGUCGGUUGUGAAAACUCAGGGCUUAACCCUGGGCUUGCAGUGGGUACGGGCAGACUAGAGUGCGGUAGGGGAGACUGGAAUUCCUGGUGUAGCGGUGAAAUGCGCAGAUAUCAGGAGGAACACCGGUGGCGAAGGCGGGUCUCUGGGCCGUAACUGACGCUGAGGAGCGAAAGCGUGGGGAGCGAACAGG